GAGACGCUGAGCACUGUCAGGAGAAUGACGUCACAAACUCCGCCCACACGCAGGUUUCUUCCUUGUUUGGAGGAAAAGAAAAACGUCAACAUGCAGUGUGUAGUUGUACAGCAUGCAGAAACAGUUGGUUUCACUUUCACAUAGAGACGACUGAGAACCCAAAACAAAAUGGAGAAUGAAGAGACACACAUCAGGAGGAGGAGGAAGAUGAUGAUGAACUGAAGAAAGAGAAGCAGAUCAACAUGAGCAGCAUAAUAACAUGAAGAUCAGCAACAUCAGAAAUGAACAGAGAUGAUGAUCAGCUGAUGAAGAGCAGAAGAUCAACAUGAGCAGCAGAGAGAGCAGAGGUCAGAGAUUAUUCAGACACAUCUGAUCAAACAUCUUUCCUACAGUUCAAAACUAAUAACUACAGUGUGUGUUGACCAGUCCUAUGAGUAAAGAUGUCUGAAUAAUUCAUUAUUUCUGAAUAAUGCAUUUUAAUAAAACUUUAGGUGGUUUGAGUUACUGCUGUU
rnacentral:lncRNA from 1 species